CCCAUCUAAAACCUUCUGAAACGCCCUGAAACACCUUGAAAUGCUUCGGAAAUCCCCCUAAAAUCCCCAUGGAACUGACUUGUGAGCCUGUGCAUCCCACUAAACCCCUCGAAUUCCAAUGAAACGCUUUGGAACGCUCUGAAGCGCCUUGAAAUGCCCUGAAAUGCCUUGAAACGCUUCCCCUAAAAUCUCCUAAAACUGUUCAGUCUGUCUUGAAACGACAGUAAAACCCACCCUGAAAACCCCGCGAAGCUCAUCUGAGAGCCAGUAAAACUACCUCAAAUUCUCUGAAACCUUAUGAAUCGCCCUGGAAUGCUUUGAAACCCCUGUAGGUAAUGAAAUUAAUCCAUUCAUCAGGUAAAAAUUCUAUCUACAGUCCCGACUCAUUACUUUAACCCUUAAAAUGGCAGAAAUUGAGAUCACAGUGGUUGUUAAAGUUUUUAAGUUGAAAUGUUGAAUUAUUCAAGGGAAAUAGUUAUACUAUAAGAUGUACUAAUGUACAUCCUCCCCCCUUUUUGGUGACGUGUCGAAAUAAGUGGCUUUUUCAUUUUUUUUUCUCGGAAAUGCUCCGUGAAAUUGUUAACAUUCAUGGCUUUUGUCGUUGAAAAAUAAGUUUCGGAGAUCCCUGAUGUACGAUUUACUUCGGUGAACACGUCCAAUAAACCUUUAUCACCUUAAGGCCUCCAAUAUUUACGUUAUGGAAUUCAAGUCACAUGCUCUGUAAGCGCUUGAUGUAAUCAAUGCAAUAAAUUCAAAGGGACAAUUGUGUCAGAAUACUCUUAGAACCGCAAGGCAUAAGCGGGUAGCUGUUUUCGUUUUGCUUGGAUGUACUAGGAUAUCCAAACUAUCCUGGAGUUAAGAUUUAAAUCUUACAUGGUCAACGGGAUCUACCGCAGCCGCAAUUUAAUUUAUAGCUUUUGAACGUUAUUACCUUAUUAUUGCUUUGUAAUUGAACAAGAUUUGUUUUUACGUUUUCCGGACAUUGUAAAGUUUGCUAAAUGUCCAGAAGUUCAGGACUUUCAAGUUCUACAAAAUCUACCAAAAUCACCAUUUAAUCUACGCUUGCGGUGUACAGUCAUUGUUGUCUAUGCUACUACACGAUGCUACGAGACAUUUUUUUUUUGAGGUUGUACGACAUUGUAAGGUAUGCAAAAUGUUCUGGAGUUCAGGACUCCCAAGUUCUACGGAAUCUACCACACACCUACCUUACCAUACUGAUCAGGCUAAGGUGGCGUGAGUGUCCUCUGCUGUACGUAGGAGUCCUCUCCAUUCUACUCGUUCCAUGGCUCCAGUUCCACACUCGGCAAAGGGACCGCAAACCGUUCUCCACUUGAUCGAUCCACCAAGCUCGCUGCGCACCACGUCUUCUUGUGCCAGUCAGAUGACUCUCGAGAAUCAGUCGGGUUGCUAACCGACAUCUUGAUGACGUGACCUGCCCUUCCGAUUUUCGUGGUGUGGACCAUGGUUGAUUCUCUCAGCAGCUGAUGCAGUUCGUGGUUCAUUCGCCUUCUCCAAGUCCCGUCUUCCAUCUGAACUCCGCCGUAGAUGGUACGCAGCAACUUUCGUUCGAAAACUCCAAGGGCGCGUUGGUCCUCUGCACGUAGAGUCCAUACUUCGUGCCCAUAGAGGACUACCGGUCUAUUCAGCGUUUUGUAGAUAGUUAACUUCGUGUGACGGCGAACUUUGUUCGAUCGUAGAGUUUUGUGGAGUCCAAAGUAAGCUCGAUUUCCUGUCACAAUGCGUCUCUGAAUUUCUCUGCUGGUGUCGUUGUCGGCGGUAACCAGUGCAGUGCAGUGAGCCCAAGUAAACGAAUUAUUCAACCGCCUCGAUUUCAUCACCGUCGAUAUAAAUUCGGGGUGGCGGACGCGGUGAUUCUUCCCUUUUCCAUAAUGUACUUUGUCUUCGACACAUUAAUGACUAAUCCGAUUCGCCUGGCUUCAUUCUUUAGUCGGAUGUACGUUUCCGUCAUCGUCUCAAAUUUGCGAGCUUUAAUAUCAAUAUCAUCAGAGAAACCAAGCAGCUGAACGGACUUCGUGAAAAUCGUUCCACUCGUGUUUAUCCCGCUCUCCUUAUUACACCCUCUUACGCAAUGUUGAACAGCAAGCACGUAAUACCGUUACCUUGGCGUAACUCUCUGCGAGAUUCGAAGGGACUCGAGGGUGUCCCUGAAUCUCGAGCAACGCACAUCACUCGAUCCAUCGUCGCCUUGAUCAAUCGUAUCAGUUUAUCCGGGAAUCCGUAUUCGUGCAUCAUCUGCCAUAGCUGGUCUCGAUUGAUUGUAUCAUACGCCGAUUUAAAAUCGACGAACAAGUGAUGUGUGGGCACGUUGUAUUCGCGGCAUUUCUGCAACACCAGGUGGAUGGCGACCAUCUUGUCCGUUGUAGCGCGUUCACCCAUGAAUCCAAAAAUUUACAAAAAAGGUUUCUGCAAAAAUGGAUAACAUUUUCCACCACGAAAAAAAUCAGAAGAUACCUUCAUCCAUACUCUACAUGUGUACGAAAACCGAUUUUGAAAAUAUUGCUUCGUUAUUUAAUAAAAAAUCAAAAACCAAAAAAAAAUAUGAGGAAAUGCUUCCAGUUUCGCCUUAAGGACAAGGUAUUGGGAGUGCAUAGCUCAAAUUUUCUAGAUCGACCUUUAAAAAACCGCUAAACCGAUUUGGCUUGAAAUGAAUCCCGAUAUUGACAAUCACUGAGCAACCAACAUGAUGCAUGUUCAGCCAUAUUCGUUGAACUUUUUCUUAACGGUUCUCUAAAUAAUUUGAGCUAUGUGCUUUAAAUAUCUUGUCCUUAAGAGCACUCGCCUCCCUGUACACACCAGAAACACAAUACAUAUAUGUAAAAUAAACCAGAGUUCUUGAAAUCUGAAAUUUGUUACUAUUUUGGAGUUGGAACUGAGUGGCGUUUUCGAAAGUUUUCAAAACUACUGAAAAUAUGUGAUCAAGCUACUGAACUUUGAUAUGAUCUCUCGCGAUAAUAAAAUUUUUAAAACAAAAUCUAUUUUUCAAGAAUUUACUUUGCUAGAAGAAAAAACACUUCCACUUUUACUGUCCAAAAAUUUGAUAAAAUUCAGAGAAGUCUCAACAUUCAAGUCUUAAUAUACAAGAUGAUAACAUUUUUUAGAUAGGGUGGUUCAAAAAUCGAUAUUUUUAUUUUUAAACCUUAAACUUCCAAAAUUUUAAAAUAAUAAAAUAAUUGUAAAUAAUUUUGAACCAGUUGGCCGAUUUGAAAUUUGUUUUUUGUUUUUGUUUGAAAGAUAUUGAAUUGAAGUUUUUGGAAAAAAAUACAAUGAAAAGGCCAAAUUGUGUUAAGGUGCAAUUGAUUUGUAUAUAAGGUUUUUAUCUAAUUGCCGUCUAGCUAAGCACCGACCAAUAAUGAUCGAGUUUAUUCUUGCACCUCGCCUAAUGCCUCAUGGCCAAUUUGGUUCUUAUUACUGAUUUAUAAAUUAGUUUCCAUAUCAUGUAAAAAAAUCGAAAGAACUACAAUUUCCUUGAAAUACAAAGAUUAAAUAAUUGGCUCACGAAUUCUGUUUCCGUCUAAUCCACGUCUAUUUCGGGCACAACUUGAGUUCAAUUCUCGGCACACCUUCUACGUGACACUAUGGUAUAUCGGAUGGUCAAAAGUUAUGCCCUGACCGUAGGUGUUUAUUCGAAAAGUCGGCCAAAUUCUUCGCAAUCCAAAUCAAAUCAUGUUUUCAAAGUACGAUUUUUAGAAUAUCGAACAAAAUAUUUCAAUUGUUAUUUUUGUCCACCAGGUCAUAAUACGAAGAAAUCUUUCUCUGUAGUUGUGAAAUAAGAUGUUUCAUAUGCUGAAAUUACACGCGCACAUUUGUUUGCAUCGUCUUCCUUAGCCGAAGACAACUUGUUAGUUACAUUCUACCGAAGGAAAAAAAAAUAUUAAUUUGAUAAAUUAAACAGCUUUUGCUGUGCCAGAGCUUUUGUGGGGUGUGAAUUGAAGGUUGGUUCAACAAGUGAAUCUGGCAAAUGGAAAAUUGAACAAUGAUGAAGAACAAUUCGACUAGCUUCUGCUUUGGUUCGGAUGCAUUCGGCAUACGUAAAAUAAAACAAAAAAGUGAAGUCGUAAGUGGGGUGAAAUUAAAACGUGAAAUGUUGCGAUUGAUUUUCAGUGCUACACACUUAAAAUUUGUUCACGAGCUCGGCAGAAUAUAUAGCCGAGCUGCCCCGGUUAAUUACUAUUUUACUGAGAAUUCAGCAGAAAAAACUGUUUUGCUGAAUAUUGGUUCAAUUUCAAUCUGAAAUUUCGGUUCGAUCCUUACUUUUACUGAAAAUCGGCAACACUGAAAACCGAACGGCAACGCAAAAACCUAUUUUACCGACCUCAGUUCGUUAUACGCCGAAAUCUCGUUUCUUCUAGUCGUUUUGCUGAAUCUCGGUUGUUUGGUUGUCAUCCGCCAUAUUUGUUUUCCAAGUUGUGGUUUUAUGUAGUUUGCAAAGUUUUACUCGUGAUAAAAGUGGUUUUGCGUGAUGGAACAAAUGCUGGAAAUCAUCAAACAGGAAGACGUAAGAUUGUUCAACAUCUUCACCGGAAUUGGAAAUACCGACAACCGAAGUCCCUAUCAUCUACAUCGUGGAGAAGUUUUUCGAAAUCGGCGAUUGCUACCUGGUCUGGAACGACGUCACGGUUCCAGUUGGAAACGACAUCCUGGCUGCCUUCAUACUCCUGUGCAAAUCCUUCACAGUCUUCAACGUGAAAUGUUGUGCAUCCGACAAGCUUUUUUAUUCUUUUUUCCAUGCAUUCUGCUUCAAAUUGGAGCCACUCAGUACCACAAGCAACAAGUUCCUUGAUAAACUCAUUGAAUGAGUGAGUGAUGGUGGACGUAUUGAAGCAUCCUUAAGAACGAUUGAUUAAAUAUACGCUUUUGGCAAUGAAUUCGCUUAUUGGUAAUAUAAGAUAUA